UGCACGUUAAUGGUAUAUUCUUGUUGAGACUGAAUCUAAGUGGUCUAAUGCAAGCAUUCGUUCCUAACACUGAGACAACAAUGCA